rnacentral:lncRNA from 1 species
CCCCCUGCUGUGGUUUUAAUAGGUUUGUCCCCCACAGGUUUGUUUACUGGGAGCAGGUCCCUGAGGUGAUGGUACUGAAACAAGGUAGAACUUUGAAGGGGCACCUUCACAUCUAGAGAGAAGUGACUAGGUCAUUGGGGGCACCACCUUUGAAAGGAAUCUGGCUUCUCUUUAGGGAGGGAAUUAGUAUUCAAAAUAUCGGAUUGGCUGGGAAGGAAUUAGUAUUCAGAGAAUUGGAUUGGUUGCUGAGGGAACCGACUGUUAUAAAGCAAGUUCUAUUUUCUUGGUUUGCUCCCUUGCUUCCUCUCCUGUUAUAUAGCACCACCCUCCUCCUCUUCCCGUUUGUCUCUCCCACUGUGAUGGUUAAUCUUGAUUGGCAGCUUAAUAGGAUUUAGAAUCAUCACAGAAACAAAUUUCUGGACAAGUCUGUGUGUGGGUUAUCUUGAUUAGGUUAGUGGAGGCAGGAACUCACCCUAAACAUAGAAAAUAUAAUUUUUAUGGUCUGGGGCCUUGGAAUUAGUAUAAAGGAGACUUAGGACUGGGCUUAAGCAUCCACCACUCUCUGUGACUGGGGAUGCAGUGUGACCUCCCGCCUCCUCUUCUUGCAGUCAUGCCUUUCCUUUCAAGGAGACAGUGACCCCUAGAACCGAGAGCCAGAACAAACCUUUCUUUUAAAGUUACUUUUGUUGGGUGUUUUGUUGUAGCAACAAGACAAGCAACCAAUGCACCCUUAGCCCCAGCAUGUGAAACUGGUCGCUGUGACACCCUCGUCAGGAAUGAAGGCUGGCGUUGUGCUUUAAAGUAAACUUCUAUUGAUUCUAUUUUCAUAAAACCCAUAGCUGAGUGGUGGUGGUGCAUGCCUUUGAUUCCAGCAUUCAGGAAUCAGGCAGAUCUAUGAGUCUGGGGCCAACCUGGUCUACAGAGUGAGCUCCAGGACAGCCAGGAGUAUACAGUGAAACCCUGUCUUAGAAAAGCAAAAACAAACCAGUAAAACCCCUACUAUUGGGUGCUUUGUGAAAGCAACAAAAAGCACAUGGAGACCCUGCCCAUCAUUCCUUUCACAACGCCAACAUUUUGUGUAAGAGUUUGUAAUCAAGGCAGGACUCUACCUAGAUGAGUGGCCUAUGGGUGGAUAGGAGCUGACCACAACUCUACUUUAAGAGUCAUAUUAGGGAAGUUCCCAGACAGAAGAGAGUCACGGAUGCU